UCUCCGAAUGCCUUAGAUUGUAAGUUUGAUCCUGGCUCAAUCGAACGCUNUUAGGCAGGCUUAACACAUGCAAGUCGAGCGGGGAAGGGUAGCUUGCUACCUGACCAUAGCGGCGGACGGGUGAGUAAUAGCUUAGGAAUCUGCCUAUUAGUGGGGGACAACAUACUCGAAAGGGAUGCUAAAUACCGCAUACGUCCUACGGGAGAAAGCAAGGGUGAUCUUCGGACCUUGCAGCUAAUAGAUGAGCCUAAGUCAGAUUAGACUAGAUUGGUGGGGUAACGGCCUACCAAAAGGCGACAGAUCUGUAGNCGGGUCUGAGAGGAUGAUCCGCCACANCUGGGAACNGAGACACUGGACCAGACUCCUACGUGUGAGGCAGGCAGUGGGGAAAUAUUAGGACAAUGGGGGAGAAACCCUAGAAUCACAGCCCAUAGCA
rnacentral:rRNA from 1 species